CCUACGGGAGGCAGCAGUGAGGAAUAUUGGUCAAUGGGCGGAAGCCUGAACCAGCCAAGUAGCGUGCGGGAUGAAGGCCCUACGGGUCGUAAACCGCUUUUGCACGGGGAUAACACCCUCCACUUGUGGAGGACUGCAGGUACCGUGCGACUAAGGGCCGGCUAAUUCCGUGCCAGCAGCCGCGUUAAUACGGAAGGUCCGAGCGUUAUCAGGAUUCGUUGGGCGGCAAGGGAGCGUAGGAGGGCGGUCAAGUUAGUGGUAAAAGCGCGCAGCUAAACCGCGCCCCGCAGUUGAAACUGGACGCCGUGAGUGCACAACAGGCAGGCGGAAUUCGUGGUGUAGCGGUGAAAUGCAUAGAUAUAACGAG
rnacentral:rRNA from 1 species